GAAGCUGGAAUUGCUGUAAUGGCAGGUCAGCAUACUGCCGUGAAUACGUUCCCGGGCCCUUGUACACACCGCCCGUCACACCAUGAGAGUUGGAAAUACCCGAAGCCUGUGAGCUAACAGUAAUGAGGCAGCAGUCGAAGGUAGAGCCAAUGAUUGGGGUGAAGUCGUAACAAGGUAAC
rnacentral:rRNA from 1 species